rnacentral:misc_RNA from 3 species
AACGCACCUUGCGCCCUUUGGUAUUCCGAAGGGCAUGCCUGUUUGAGUGUCAUUAAAUUCUCAACUUUGCAAGCUUUUUUGCUUGUGAGGCUUGGAUGUGAGGGUUUUUGCUGGCUUCCAUUCAGUUGGAUGGUCUGCUCCCUUUAAAUUCAUUAGUGGGAUCCUUUGUGGAUGGUCACUUGGUGUGAUAAUUAUCUACGCCGCCUGACUCUGAAACAAGACUUGUGGGAACCUGCUUAUAACCGUCUCUUCAAGAGACAGCUUAUCUUGACAAUUUGACCUCAAAUCAGGUAGGACUACCCGCUGAACUUAA